UGUUGCAGCAUGUGGAUCUUGAGCCUGUGCGCACUGAAAGACCAGGAGAAAAAGUUGCAUAUUACAAGAUAGCUAACCACUAUAAAUGGGCCUUGGAUGAGCUAUUCAUUAAGCAUGAUUUCCGUCGAGUAAUCAUUCUGGAAGAUGACAUGGAGAUCGCCCCAGAUUUCUUUGACUACUUCGAGGCUGCAGCGAAAUUACUUGAUACUGACAAGUAUGUUACAACUGUACUC